ensembl:ncRNA K06A1.10 ncRNA
UUUGUGUGUGUUGCAAUAUCCAAGCUCUUUCUCUAAUCCGGAACAAGUCAGUGAUGCACUUCUCAUGUGACGAUGAGCGUUGUGAAGAGCACCUUGUGUGCUCCUGGUGAUGUGCAAUUUCC